rnacentral:rRNA from 1 species
GAUGAACGCUGGCGGUAUGCCUAAACACAUGCAAGUCGUACGAGAGUUUUUAACUCUAGUGGCGGACGGGUGAGUAACACGUGAGAAUUUGCCUUUAGGAGGGGGAUAACAAUUGGAAACGAAUGCUAAUACCCCAUAUGCUUUUGAGUGAAACGGAUUUAUCCGCCUAGAGAGAAGCUCGCGGCUGAUUAGCUUGUUGGUAAGGUAAGAGCUUACCAAGGCGACGAUCAGUAUCUGGUUUGAGAGGACGAUCAGACACACUGGAACUGAGACACGGUCCAGACUCCUACGGGAGGCAGCAGUGGGGAAUUUUCCGGCAAUGGGCGAAAGCCUGACGGAGCAAUACCGCGUGAGGGAAGAAU